rnacentral:rRNA from 1 species
AGUGGCGGACGGGUGAGUAACGCGUAAGAAUCUAACUUCAGGACGGGGACAACAGUUGGAAACGACUGCUAAUACCCGAUGUGCCGCAAGGUGAAACCUAAUUGGCCUGGGGAAGAGCUUGCGUCUGAUUAGCUAGUUGGUGGGGUAAAGGCCUACCAAGGCGACGAUCAGUAGCUGGUCUGAGAGGAUGAGCAGCCACACUGGGACUGAGACACGGCCCAGACUCCUACGGGAGGCAGCAGUGGGGAAUUUUCCGCAAUGGGCGAAAGCCUGACGGAGCAACGCCGCGUGAGGGAGGAAGGUCUUUGGAUUGUAAACCUCUUUUCUCAAGGAAGAAGUUCUGACGGUACUUGAGGAAUCAGCCUCGGCUAACUCCGUGCCAGCAGCCGCGGUAAUACGGGGGAGGCAAGCGUUAUCCGGAAUUAUUGGGCGUAAAGCGUCCGCAGGUGGUCAGCCAAGUCUGCCGUCAAAUCAGGUUGCUUAACGACCUAGAGGCGGUGGAAACUGGCAGACUAGAGAGCAGUAGGGGUAGCAGGAAUUCCCAGUGUAGCGGUGAAAUGCGUAGAGAUUGGGAAGAACAUCGGUGGCGAAAGCGUGCUACUGGGCUGUAUCUGACACUCAGGGACGAAAGCUAGGGGAGCGAAAGGGAUUAGAUACCCCUGUAGUCCUAGCCGUAAACGAUGGAUACUAGGCGUGGCUU